UGAUAAUGAUAAUUAUGAUGAUAUUGAUUUGAGAUGAUGUUGUUAAUAAAGACCAUGUCAACAUGAAUUGUUAUUAUUGAUGAAUAUGUGAAUAUGAAAUGAGGUUGUUGUUGUUGUUGAUAACGUCAUUGAGAUGAGAUGAUAUUUAUGUUGUGAAUGACAUGGAAAUACGAUUUGUUGAUUGAUGUUGGGAAUGCAUUGGCAUGUGCAUGUUGUGUAUGUUCGUGGGGGGCACUGUGCACUGACCUUCCAGGGUCUUUGGCACUAGCUUUUGGCCACGUUCAUACGUUGGAUGUUGUGUAUGAUCGUGGGGGGCACUGUGCACUGACCUUCCAGGGUCUUUGGCACUAGCUUUUGGCCACGAUCAUACGUCGUAUGAAGUGUAUGUCAUGGGGGGGUAGAGUGCACUGACCUUGUCGGAUGACCCAGACGUGGGUAACUAGUGUGGUUAGAGAAUCUAAGCAUUCCUGAGGGGAUGCUUAGGUGCUUUAAUUGGUCCAUGGUCUUGGGAACUUACUUUUGGCCGUGAUCAUAGCUCAUAUGACAUAGGAAAUAAAGUAACUGUGGCCAAGUGUACUUUGUACUAGGGGGCUGUCACCUGGUAGGGAACACCUUUGGGCUCCCAGGCUGAUCACCUAUGGGAGGGGGGCUGUUACGUGCACAACCGGGUGGUCUCGACAAACUCAGCACAGUUCCCUAAGUGAGAGUGUCGUGUGGACACGCUU
rnacentral:lncRNA from 1 species